rnacentral:rRNA from 1 species
GACGUAGGGGGCCAGCGUUGCUCGGAAUUACUGGGCGUAAAGGGUUCGUAGGCGGUGCGGCAAGUCGGAAGUGAAAUCUCUGGGCUCAACUCAGAGGCUGCUCCCGAAACUGCCGUGCUAGAGUGCGGGAGAGGCGAGUGGAAUUACAGGUGUAGCGGUGAAAUGCGUAGAUAUCUGUAGGAACACCCGUGGCGAAGGCGGCUCGCUGGACCGCAACUGACGCUGAGGAACGAAAGCUAGGGGAGCAAACAGG